rnacentral:tRNA from 1 species
GCGCCCGUAGCUCAGCCGGAUAGAGCAUCUGCCUUCUAAGCAGAGGGUCGCAGGUUCGAGUCCUGCCGGGCGCG